rnacentral:rRNA from 1 species
UGGGGAAUUUUGCGCAAUGGGCGAAAGCCUGACGCAGCAACGCCGCGUGAGUGAAGAAGGCCCUUGGGUCGUAAAGCUCUUUUCUAAGGGAAGAGACAAGACGGUACCUUAGGAAUAAGCACCGGCUAACUCCGUGCCAGCAGCCGCGGUAAUACGGAGGGUGCAAGCGUUGUUCGGAUUUACUGGGCGUAAAGGGCGUGUAGGCGGAUAUGCAAGCUGAAGGUGAAAGCCCUGGGCUCAACCCAGGAAUUGCUUCCAGAACUGUAUGUCUAGAGAAAGUCAGAGGCAAGUGGAAUUCCCGGUGUAGUGGUGAAAUGCGUAGAUAUCGGGAGGAACACCAGUGGCGAAAGCGGCUUGCUGGGACAGUUCUGACGCUGAGGGACGAAAGCGUGGGUAGCAAACCGGAUUAGAUACCCGGGUAGUCCACGCCCUAAACGAUGGAUGCUAGGUUUGCGGGGUAUCGACCCCCUGUGAGCCGUAGGAAACCCGUUAAGCAUCCCGCCUGGGGACUACGACCGCAAGGUUA